rnacentral:rRNA from 1 species
UACGGAGGGUGCAAGCGUUAAUCGGAAUUACUGGGCGUAAAGCGUGCGCAGGCGGUUUGUUAAGUCCGUUGUGAAAGCCCCGAGCUCAACUUGGGAAUUGCAGUGGAUACUGGCAGGCUGGAGUACGGUAGAGGAAGGUGGAAUUCCCGGUGUAGCAGUGAAAUGCGUAGAUAUCAAGUGGAACACCAGUGGCGAAGGCGAGUCUCUGGACAUUUCCUGACGCUGAGGCACGAAAGCCAGGGGAGCAAACGGG